ACAACAUUCGGACCGUAGGUCUACCGAGCAAUUUUACUCGCUCAGUGGAAAAUCUUCCCUUUGUCGU
rnacentral:pre_miRNA from 1 species